ensembl:lncRNA
AUGAAUACAAAACUUAAAGAAGAAAUUAUGGAAUGUGAGGAGCUGGAUAUUGAAGAUAAUUUAGAAAGAUCGAAAUUAAAAUACAAUCGGGUGGAACCAUAUACACCAAAGAUUAAAGUACAAGUGAAGCAGGAGACUGAAGAACAAAAUGAUCUUUUCUUACAGUUUGAAUACCUUAAGAAACACUUGGAUGAACUGACUUCAAAAAAUAGACACUUGGAAUAUAUGAAUACAAAACUUAAAGAAGAAAUUAUGGAAUGUGACGAGCUGGAUCUAGAAGAUAAUUUAGAAAGAUUGAAAUUAAAAUACAAUUGGGUGGAACCAUAUACACCAAAGAUUAAAAUACAAGUGAAGCAGGAAACUGAAGAACUAAAUGAUCUAUUCUUACAGAUUCAAGACCUGGAAGCUGAAGUCUUAAAAAUGAAAAUCUCACAUCAAGAGACUAAAGCAAAACUAGAGAGAUGCAAAAAGGAUUAUUCUCAAGAAUAUAGAUUUACUACAAGUCCCUUUGUGGCGCCACUUCAUGACUAUGACUAUGAUAAUUAUUUGGGCCUUUCAGAAGGAAAUUCAAAAUAUUUUAUUGGAGAAAGAGACUUCAAUAAACGGCAGAGAAGUCUGCUUUGCAAAGGUAGUCAUUUAGAUUUUUUUUUUCUCCUCCUUCAUGCUAAAGAUGUAAUAUAAAAUGUUCUGUUUAGAUGAAUUCCAUGCUCAUGUAUUAUUGUGAUGAAAAACGAUCCCUUUACCCAAUAAUAUUUUAAAAUUCUAAAUAAUGUUUAACCUUUUAGGUUUUUUUUAUAUUUAUAGGUUAUGUUUUAAAUAUAUUUUUUAAAUCCACAAUUAUCAGUCCUUUGAUCUAAUGAGGAUUUAAUCAUGAAAAGGUACAUGGUCUACAUUGUUUAAUGUUCUUUUUGCCUCUCUCUUUGUGAUUUGGAUCACUUCGGUCUAAAAUCAUUUUUUUAAAGUAUCCUCCAUAUUAAUGCUUUUUUUUUUUGAAGUCAUCAUUUACUCCAAUGACACAAAGAAGAAAUAUUGUGCACUUUGCAUUAUCAAGUAAAGCAUUAAGAAGAUGGAAUUUGAGAAAACCAAUUUAAUAUAUUUUUCUUAUUAAAUGGAUUCAAUAAUUUACCAUGUUAAAAUCAUUUCCUUUCUUUUAUAUAUAUGUAUUGACUUAAAACUUAAACAUAAAAUAAGAAAAAAAAAAGCAGAUAAAAAGAAAACAAAACCUUGUCAUGUGCUGGGUAGAACACUGGGAAACAUUAAAAAUAUAUAGCAACAAAUUUUAAUUCAAGAAAACAUAUGAUGAGGUUAGUGGCAGAGUUGUGGAAAUCCCCUUUUGGUCGGAGGCACAAGUUCUUUGUGAUAGAAUUCACAAACCCAAAAUAUUAAUUGGCAAACAUGGAAGUUUAUUGUUGGAUCGGAAACCAGUUUUGCUAUGAGACUGACUUCUUUAGUGGCGGCUCUAUUAGGGAAAUAGAGGCUGGCACUGAGAAGAAAAUGUCUUCUCAGCCGGCAGGGUCCUUUGGACAUUCUGCAAUGAAUGAGUUCAGAAAUUGCCCUUUAAAUGAGAAUCUUGAGGCUCAAGUUUCAGGUUGAAAAGAAAGCCAAAGUCCCAGGUCUAGAUGCUUAUCAGUAUCUGACCCAGAUCUCCGAUUACAAUUUCCAGAAAGGGUCUGGCAUCCCCAAAAGAUCAAUGGAGUGCUUUUUGACCAAGAUUUCUGAUCAAUAAUGACACUUAACUUGUCUGGGGAGAUAUGCUUUCCCAGGAAUGCCUGAGGCUCCAAUCUCCCUCUUUUUACAUUAAAAGGGAAUACAGUUUCAGACUGAUAAUUUUAAAGGGAACACAUUUUCACUCCCCCUUCACGUAUAUAAUAAUAAAAGGCAUUAUAUUCAUAAAUGUCCAUUUUUCUUUGCUUCCUUGUAGGUUUUCUUAUGUUCUCUACUGUGUAUUUUUUUAUUUUUAUGUUUGUGCUUUUUCCUCCCCCACCCACCUUUUCAAAGAAAGUUGCAGUUAAGCCAGAUAUACAUAUAUAGGCCUUUACAUAUAACUAUAUAAUACAUAUUAUAAAUAUAUAUAUAUAUAUAUAUAUACUUAUAUGUACAUACACACACAUACUUCUGAAACAUUAAUAUGGUUGACAUAAUAUAGAUUUCUUUCUUACUAAAAUCUUUUUUUAAAGUUGACUACGCCAAGAAGGAAUAACAUACACACAUACACACAUAUAUAAGAGACAGAGAGAAAUUCGUUUUUCAUAUUGGCCCUUAUAGGUAAAAUUUUCUAUUAAGUCCAGGUUUGUUUAGACAAAAUCCUGAAAAUGUGACAGUUUAUUGAAUGUCCUUUUUUUUUUUUUGAUUUUUCAUUAUACUUAACUUUGCUGGUUGAAAUAUGUUCAUCCACAAUUUUAGGGUUUUUAAAAUGGAAUACUUAUUUUAUUUUUCCCACUUUUAAUUUGAUAUUUUCCUUUAACCAAUUACAUGCCAAUCAUUUUUACAUUUAUUUUCAUAACUUGGAGUUCCAGAUUCUCUCCCUUCUUCUCUCCUCACCAUAAUUACACUUUAUCCUCCCACUUGAGAAGCUACAUUUGAAGUUAUGCAAAAAUACUUCCAAGCCAUGUUGCUACAAAAGAAAACAGAUUUCCUCUCACCUGUCUGAAGAAAAAUUAAAUUUAAAAAAUGUAGGCUUCACUCUGUAUUCUGAAACAAUCAGUUCCUUCUUUAUCCAGAUGUAGAUAGCAUUUUUCAUCAUGAGUCCUUCACAAUAAUCUUGAAUCACUGUAUUGCUGACAAUAUUGCUAUUACUUUAUACACAGAACAUUUCACUUUGCAAAUAUUGAUGGAGAACUUUUCAGGUUUUUCUGAGGAUAUCUUACACAUGAAUUCUUAUAGAAUAAUAUUAUUCCAACAUAUUCAUCUAAUAUAAAUUUAUUCUGUCAGUUACCAGUUGAAGGGCAUCCCCUCAACUUCCAAUUCUUUGUCCUGAGAAAUGAACUGUUAGGGGAGGGGUGAAUUGUAGGCAUAGGGCCUUUCCCUUCUUCAAAAAAAUUUUUUUUUCAUUUAGGAGACAUGCUGGUAGUGGAUUUGGGGUCAAAGUUAAAUGUGUUUAUAAACCUUUGAGCGAUUCAAACUCUUUUACAGAAUUUGAAUUGCUCAAAUUAUUAACAAUCCAUUAAUAUCUUCUUUUUUACCAUACAUUCAUUCCAAUAUUUAUUAUUUUUUUUCUGGUCCAUUAGCCCAUCUAAAUGAUUGUACCUCAGAACUGUUUAAGUCUAAUUUCUUCUAUCUCUUGUGUGAGAAUUUUUUUUUAAAUAUGACUAUAAAAAAAAAGGUAUUCCCUACUCAAUUUUUUUCUGUUCUCUCUCUUCUAUCACCCAGCCCCAACUCAAAAGUCUUUUGACUCUUAAUAUCUUCUUCUUCAGUAUGCCUUUCUAUCACCCUUUACCCUUCUCAUUCCCCCUUCCUCUCCUCCUUUCAUGUAAGGGAAGUUUCUAUACCCAUAUUGAGUGUGUUUGGUAUUUCUUUUUUGAACCAAUUCUGAGGGUUCAAUGGUUCAUUCCUUCUCUCUCCCCUCCCUCUCUUCCUUUCUACUGUAAAAACUGCUUUUUUUCAUUUCCUAUUUUAAGGCAGAUAAUUUAUGCCUUUCAACCUCGCCAUUUCCCCUUUUCACAGUAUGUUCCUCUCUUCCUCCUAUAAUUUUAUUAAAAAAAAUAUUAUCCUUUCUUAUUCAACUCAUAUAGACAGAGUUUCUGUCUAUAGAAACUCUUUCAAACUGCUCAAACUGCCCUAAUAAACUUUCCAUCUAGAAAUAUAACUAGAUUACCCUUAAAGUGUCCCUUAUGAUUUUCCUUCACUGAUUAUGCCCCUGGACUUUUCCUGAAAACUGUAGUUGAAAGUCAAAUUUUUGAUUCAGUUCUGGUCUUUUUAUCACGAAUUCUUAAAAGUGCUCUUAUUAUAAGUUACUUUUGCUGGGUAGGUAAUACUUGGUUGUAAACCUACAUGCUUUGCUCUUCAGAAUAUUAUAUUCCAAGCACCCAGUCCUUUAAUAUAAAAGUUGCUAAAUCUUGUGUUAUCCUGACUUUGGCUCAACUAUACUUCAGUUGUUUCUUUCUGUAUGCUUGCAAUAUUUUCUCCUUGAUUUAGGAGUUUUAGAAUUUGAUUUUUACUAUUCCUGGGAGCUUUCAUUUUGGGAAGGGGAACUCUGAUUCCAGGGUGGAGGGUGCACUGUCCCAAACUUCAAUUUGUGCUCUGUUUCAAGU